rnacentral:ribozyme from 14 species
ACAAACGACAAAGAACAGAAUUGAAGGACAAGAUUUGGUGAGUUAUUUGUUGGUGGAAAUGCUUUUUCAUUCCUUGUUUUUUUUCCGGGGCUCGCCUCUUUUGAUCUGAGUAAUUU